CUGUCACAGCCCCGUCUGUAUAUGUAACAAUAGCAAUGCCGCUCUCACAGCCUUUUAUAUAUAUGCAAAGCAGAGCCCAGAGAGAGAUAGAGAGAGAGUCAAAAGGAGCGAGAGAGAAAGUACGUUAAUGGCGGAUUCUGAAAUUUCCCGUUUUCUAAUCACUCUAUAAUUCAAAGUAAGCUUAAGCUUUGGCGAUUGAUUAGAUAUACAUAUAAAAGUAUAACAUUUAGCUGGUUUUAUGUAUUCUAUGUUCCUUUUGUGCCAAUUAUUGUUACUCGUUUAACUUUCCAUCGGUUUUGAUAUUUCGUGAUCAUUUAAUCGUUUAUGUGUAUGGUAGAGGGUCACUGGAUGCAGCGGUUCAUCGAUCUGUUCCCUACUCCUUACGAAUGAACCCACGAAAUAAUAAGAAGGAAAAAAAAAUGGAAGGUAGAAAUUUUAGAGAGAGAGAGAGAGAGAGAGAGAGAGAGAGAGAGAGGGAGAGGGAGAUGAGAGAGAAGGAAAAGGAAUCGGUCGAUAAACCUCUGCAUCCAGCGCUCACCACCACUCCCUGUUCCGUUUCUGUUUACUGUAUGUGUGUGUUACUGUGUGUGGAUAUUCGACUAUUUGUUUCUUCAUUUAUGGAGUAUUUGCAGUAAGAUUUUCUGUUUCAGAAGUUUUCUCUCUCCACACUAAUGAUUUCUACAGAAAGCUAUGAUGGAUGUUAUCGAUGCAGGUAGUGAUUCAGCUCCUUGAUUGUCUUAAUUAAUCAUAUAAUUAAUCGUUCUUGAAAUCAAAUAUCGAAUCAUUAUUUUAUUUAUGGAUUCUUCUGGUUUUCUUUUGUCGAUUUAACGAAUUUAAUAACAAUCUUUUGUUUGCCAUGUCUUAUAAUAAUGGGAGUUUGAGUUAGUUCUCAACAGCAACUCAUUCUGAUAUGAUUCUGGAUGACUGGAUCUGAAUAUUUUACUAAUUCUUUUUAAAUGAAUGUUAAUUAAUAUUAUUUUUUCAAUUUAUUUAUGCUAUGAUUCAGUGUAUUUUUUUGGUCUCAUUUGAUAGUACAAAAAUGUAUCAUGACAGUCUCGAAGUUCUAAAUUAAGUCUAUGCAAGAUUUCCAUUCAUUAUUAUUUUUGUAUCCAUUCCGGUCUAAAUUAAAAAAUCUACUACGGUUUUGUCUUUUUUAUUAAUCCAAUAUUUUGUAUGAUAUUUCACAGAAAACAAUUUUUGAUGUUUCAUUAAGAGAAUCGUAACAUGACCGAAUUGUAUUUUAGAAUAAACGUAGGGAUUUAAUUAUUUGCUUUUACUGAAAUGAUAAUUGAGAUGGAAGACUAUAGGAAAAUUACACAAAUGGUCCCUAUGGUUUAGGGUAAUUUGUGUUUUUGGUCCCUAACUUAUUUUUUGAAAUUGGAAGAUUCUUGUUUUAACUAAAAAGACUAUUUUGCUCUUGAUUUUUUAAUUUAUUUAAAUAAACAUACCCCAACCUCACCCCUCUCACUUUAUCUUAUUUACCCAACAUUUUUCAUAUUUAAAUAAUAAUCUUUUUAGGUAAGACAGAGACCAAUCGAAUAACAAAAACAAACAGUAUGAACCAAACGCGUAACAAAAACAAAUGAGUUAAAAAAUAAGUUAGGAAUCAAACACGCCAAUUACCUCAAACCAUAGAGACCAUUGGUGUAAUUUACUCAAGACUAUAUAGUGUUGGUUUUCUUUUUAUUUAAAACCCCUGUAAAUGUUUAAAUUUACCGGCUUUUCCCCCUGAAUGCAAUUGUGUUUGGCUUUUUAUAUCUUUGUCAAUUUCGUCUUUAAAUGUUUUGUAUUUUGGUUAUGUUAUUUUGCAUGUUGGGUGUGUUUUUCGAAGUUCGAAGUCUGAAAUAUUUAAUUUUGUCAAGAUCAGGAUCUUAUCAAAUAUUGUUUUAUAUGUUGCAAGAUCGUAAUCGUAAGAUCAGAUUAGGUUCAUAAGAUCCUAUCAAAAUUAACUUAUAUUCAAAUUUGCUCGUGUAAAGUCUUGCGUGUAGUAUACAUUAUAACUUGAUAUCUAGCAAGAUGUUAAUAUGGAGUCAAAUUUAACCUUUUUAACACAAAUAAUAAUUUUUGCUGCUGCAAAUCCUUAAAAUUAGAAAAAAAACAUCUUAAUUACAAAAAAAAAAAACAAGAUUAUUAUGACUUGUUCACGGUAGUUGACUUCAAGAACGAAGUCAGAGAUGCGGGAGCAUUACCCUGACUUGUUCAUGGUAGUUGACUUCAAGAACAAAGUCUAGUUGGAGGACCCAAACUCGUCGAGUUCGUUUGGAAUCAACAUUUUCUCAAAACAUGAAAGUCAUCCGAAAUUAUAUCUAGUUUAACAUUUUGAAUCUCGUCAAUCGGAGUUACGAGUCAUGAGAAAUGGCCAAAACACCGACGAGGGGUCAAGCUGUCCAACAAUAUCCUUCUUUCUUCGAAAUCCAAAUUCCAAGCUUCUAAUAGCUAAAUCUGCUUCAUUUUCCUCCCGAGCAUGUCUUCGUUGCUGAAAAUAAAAUUUUAAAGUAAUUACGUACCUUUUGUUCAUUAUUUGAGACAAAAACAACAUAAAGUAUUAAGAUAAUGCAUGAAUUUUAUAACUAAAUAUGCCCAUAUCAUUGACCUUGGAAGCUUGAAGAAGCUUUGGAUCUCGAAUCCUCAUCUAUUUAACAACCUCUAGAGGUAUAAAGUUCUGAACUUGGCUUUUAUUUCUUUAGAUCUUGUUAGCUCUUGAUUCUUUAAGCAUUUUGGUCCCAAGUCUUGACCUUUAUGAGUAUGGCAUACUCUAGCCCGUAUAAGUUGUCCUUUUAGACGUUUUGAGAUGUCUAGAAGCACAAAAAUAUGAUCUUAGCUCUUAUUUCUUCCUCAUGAAUGUGUUAGGAUGUCCUAAUGGAUUAAGAAGUUAAGGUUUGUUGGUAUUAAACACUUUUAGCCAUGCAAAGUCAUAAAGUUUCCUUUUGGGCUUAGAUAUGGAUUUGGACGUAAGGACUUGAUGUAUUAAGCUCUUAAUAAGAAGUUGAGGUGAACAGGUGCGUACGUUCGGCAUACCAAAUGGUAUGUUGCGCGUAUACGGUCAAUGCUCUGACUUCUUGGUCAAGCGGAGUACGCCCCGCAUACAGCUAAGUACGCGCAACGUACUCGAUUGGUUUGUUGACCUUGACCUUUUGACCAAGGUUGACCUAAGAGUAGUUUGGGUAUUUUAGGUCUUUUGGGAUUAUUAACUAAGCCCAGCUAACCGAUUUCGUUCAGGUGAUUGGUAGAGUUGGUGUUGGAGUUGUACUCGGUGUUGUGUACUUUUCUGCUACUCUUUAGACUGAGAGGUACUUUAGAGAAUCAUGUGAAAGCGAAGGCUUGAUCGUGCACAUCUUCCAAUUUUCAUGAUAUUGGCUUUCGAGACAUUCUGAUAUGAUUUUACUUUUGAAACAAUGGCUUUUCUUGUAAAAUAAUUAUGGAUAAUGGUUGUUUUUGAAAAUUUUAAAUUUCACUGAUUUUGGAAUGUUACAACAACGUAUCAACA